rnacentral:rRNA from 1 species
AAUGGGCGGAAGCCUGAUCCAGCAACGCCGCGUGAGGGAUGACGGCCUUCGGGUUGUAAACCUCUUUCAGUACUGACGAAGCGUGAGUGACGGUAGGUACAGAAGAAGCACCGGCCAACUACGUGCCAGCAGCCGCGGUAAUACGUAGGGUGCGAGCGUUGUCCGGAAUUAUUGGGCGUAAAGGGCUCGUAGGCGGUUUGUCGCGUCGGGAGUGAAAACACCGGGCUUAACUCGGUGCUCGCUUUCGAUACGGGCAGACUAGAGGCAUGCAGGGGAGAACGGAAUUCCUGGUGUAGCGGUGAAAUGCGCAGAUAUCAGGAGGAACACCGGUGGCGAAGGCGGUUCUCUGGGCAUGUCCUGACGCUGAGGAGCGAAAGUGUGGGGAGCGAA